rnacentral:lncRNA from 1 species
CAAUCUUCGAUCUAGUUUUGUAUUUUUUUACUUUAGUAGCCUAUGGUUUAAAGUGCAUUAAUUUAGUACCCCGUGUUUCAUUUUUCUCUUUUCGUCGGCUCCUCUGUUAAUAUUUGGUUAAGUUAUAUACAAAAAACUUCAAAUACCCUAUCUAAAUUUAUCGAAUAUUUACUUUAGUACCUUCAGUUUUAACUUUGUCAUUGAUUUUUUUUCUUCCGCUAAUAUUUCGUUAAAUUAUAUAUUAAAAAAAAAACUUCAGAUAUCCUAUCUAGAUUUAUCGAAUAUUCACUUUAGUUCCUUUUAGUUUUAACUUUGUCACUGAUUUAACGAAAAAAUUAGUGAAAUGGAUAAUAAAAAGAGAAAAAUGAAACCACAUGGUACUAACUUGAUACACUUUAAACCACAGGAUACUAAAAUAAGAAAAUGCGAAACCACAGGGACUAUCUUGAUACACUUUAAACCACAGGGUACUAAAGUGAGAGAGUAUGAAACCACAUGCCCACAG